rnacentral:rRNA from 1 species
UCGGGAAUUUUGCUCAAUGGACGCAAGCCUGAAGCAGCAACGCCGCGUGAGGGAUGAAGGCCUUCGGGUUGUAAACCUCUUUUCUCAGGGACGAUGAUGACGGUACCUGAGGAAUAAGUCACGGCUAACUACGUGCCAGCAGCCGCGGUAAUACGUAGGUGACCAGCGUUGUCCGGAUUUACUGGGCGUAAAGAGCGCGCAGGCGGUCGUUCAAGUCGAGUGUGAAAGCCCCCGGCUCAACUGGGGAGGGUCACUCGAUACUGAUCGACUUGAAGGCAGGAGAGGGAAGCGGAAUUCCCGGUGUAGUGGUGAAAUGCGUAGAUAUCGGGAGAAACACCAGUGGCGAAGGCGGCUUCCUGGCCUGUUCUUGACGCUGAGGCGCGAAAGCUAGGGGAGCAAACG